UUUUUUUUUUUUUUUUGUCUGUUUCUUUUUGAAAACGGUUUUUUUUUUUUUUUUUUUCUGUUCUUUUAGUUAGGCAAUUAUUUUUAUCGUAAUAUUAUAAUAUAUUAUUCAAAUUAUUAUUACUAUUAUUAUUAUUAUUAUUAUUAUUAUUAUUAUUAUUAUUAUUAUUAUUGAUGAUAUUUAUAUAAGUCAAGUAACAAACACCUCGCUAUAAUUGUGC